UCAAUUGCAGGGCGUUUGUUUUUUUUUUUAACGCAACUUCUGGAAAACAUUUUUACUUUGAGAAGAAAACUGAUGCAGAGAGGUUUUAUUUUGACAAGUUGUGACGGGGAAUACUUCAACCACCUCUUUGUUUGCGGUUUUGAAAAAGUAGAAUCUCUGACCAUAGGCGAGCUUAACGAGUUUGUAGUAACUGCUCAGCCUCAGGCAGUCGAGUUUCUCUGCACAGGCAAGGUCACCAAUAUUAUGACUAAUGGCUGGUGCUACAUCUCUUGCUCUAAGUGUUCAAAGAAGCUCCAGCGAGGGAUCUCAUCAUUCACAUGCAUCAGUUGAAUGAUACCAAUGUCGACGUCCUCAGGUGGAGCUUAUUGCGGCGUAUGAAAGUGAUGAAGCUGUGUUUGGUGGCUUCGAUGGGAAGAUGACAAAACUAACUAAUAUCAGAGCCACUGAAGUUGGGCAUCUUUUGGUGUUGAAAACCUUGAAGACAGUCAGCUCUCUCUGUACAUUGCUGACCUUGUGGGCAAGAGUUACAUGUUCCAGCUUAUGUUGUCCCACUUCAACUUUACUUCCACACAUCAGACAUCAGACAUUAUUAUCUCUUCCUUUCAAACCUUGGAAAUUUGAAGAGACGUCAAGAUUCCCUCUUACAAGUUGAUGCAACCAAAUUGAGUUACAUUACAUCCUCAUCUUAACUGCAGAAGACUCCACCGAAUCAUCUUCAAUUUCCCUAACGCCGGCUUCCACAGCAAAGAGACUGAUUCAGUAAGUAAGUGCAUGUUUUGGCAUUACUGGUUUUUGUACUGAUGUUUUGUCUCGCAGAUGAUUUUGUAUACUGGCUGCUACUGCAAGUUUUAACUAAAUAAGCUCAAAAGAAUAUUUACAUAAUUCUUUUUUACACUUUCACUUAAAAAGCAUUUAGAUUGGGGGAAUUUUUUUCAGACGAGUCAACUUAUAUGUUUGUUUCAAAUAAUACGUAUAUAUUCUCUGUCUGCUUUCAAAGUAUUAUUCAGGCUUACAUUUAUCAAAAAUAACAAUAUGUGAUAUAUACUGUACUAAUCCCAAUGGUCAAUAAUAUAAAGCUA